rnacentral:rRNA from 1 species
CCUACGGGGUGCUGCAGUGGGGGAUAUUGCACAAUGGGGGGAACCCUGAUGCAGCGACGCCGCGUGGGUGAAGAAGGCCCUCGGCGCGUAAAGCCCUGUCUGCAGGGAGGAAAAUGACGGUACCUGAAGAAGAAGCCCCGGCUAACGACGUGCCAGCAGCCGCUGUAAUACGUAGGGGGAAAGCGUUCUCCGGCUGUACUGGAUGGAAAGGGGGAGCAGACGGCGGUGCAGGCCAGGUGUGAAAGCCCGGGGCGCAACCCCGUGACUGUACUUGGAAAUGCGUGUCUGGAGUGCAGGAGGGGCAGGUGGAAUUCCGGGUGUAGCGGUGAAAUGCGUAGAUAGCAGGCGGAACACCGGUGGCGAAGGCGGCCUGCUGGACUGCAACUGACGUUGAGGCCCGAAAGCGUGGGGAGCAAACAGGAUUAGAUACCCCUGUAGUC